rnacentral:rRNA from 1 species
GUCCACGCCCUCAACCCUGAACCCUAGGUAUGGGGGGUACCGACCCCUCCCGUGCCGACGCUUACGCUUUAAGGGUUCCGCCUGGGGAGUACGGUCGCAAGACUUAAACUCAAAGGAAUUGACGGGGGCCCGCACAAGCGGUGGAGCGUGUGGUUUAAUUCGAUGCUAAACGCAGAACCUUACCCGGGCUCAAAGGACUGGUGGUACUCGCCUGAAAGGGAGGGGGACCCGCAAGGGAGCCAGCCCAGGUGCUGCAUGGCUGUCGU